rnacentral:rRNA from 1 species
UACGUAGGGUGCGAGCGUUAAUCGGAAUUACUGGGCGUAAAGCGUGCGCAGGCGGUUCGUUGUGUCGGCGGUGAAAGCCCCCGGCUCACCCGGGGAGGGCCGCGGCUACGGCCCGUCUUGGAGGACGGUAGGGGCAGGCGGAACACCCGGAGUAGCGGUGAAAUGCGUUGAGAUCGGGUAGAACACCGGUGGGGAAGGCGGCCUGCUGGGCCGCUCCUGACGCUGAGGCGCGAAAGCCAGGGGAGCGAACGGA